UUACUGCUCUUAUAAAAGAGAUAUGAGACCUCUUUUUCCUUCUGCCGUGUGAGGACGCAACGAGAAGAUGGCCAGUUGCAAGCCAGGAAAAGUGCGCUUAAUCAGAACCUGACCAAGCUCACUGUGGGCUGCUCUAUCAGAGGUGGUGGGUACAAGGCAGUGCUCUGGACUGCUGGGAAGGACAUCAUCCCACUAGAUAGUGGAGGUAUUACUUCUGAGUUUCAAAAACUUAAGAAAUGAGCAGAUGCUGUGGAAUCAGACACACUUGGAUUGAAGUUGAAUUUCCAUCAGUUUCUACCUGCAUGUCCUUGACUGUGUUACUUACCCUCAUCUAGUCUCGCCCUCUGCAGAAUGGGGAGUAAUAGCACCCACCUCUUGGGUGGUGGUGAGGAUUAAGGGGGAACGUGCCUGUGAAGUUCUCAGCACAGUGCCUGGCACAAAGCAAGCCAUCGGUCAUCAGGCCCUUUACAUAAUCAUCUCUAAUUAUCAUUCUGGGUCCAGUACUAUUCAACAAAUCUGUUUCCUGUGCUUCGGGCACCCAGCAAAGUCUGGCGAUACAAAAGCAGUGGGAGAAUCAGGCCGUGGACAACCAACCAUAACAAUCCUGGAACAAGAAAUUUCAGGGAAAGCAUGUUUAACUCUGCCUGAGGGGCAGAGGGCAGGGGUUCCAGAAGGGUUCCCUAAAGUGACAUUUGUGGUGGGGGUUUCAAAGGAUGAGAAGGAGCAGCUCCAGCAGAGAUGCCACGUGAGGAAAGGGAAGGACCAAUGCAGGGAACCACGAUUGAACCAGACACUCUGGGAAGAGGAAGAGCUGGAACCGCCGAUGGCUCUGGCGGUCAUCCUACAACCAGAAAAGACAGCCCACUGCGCGCUGUCAGAUGACGACUUAGCCACGUCCGGAGAGGAGCAGAGUGCAGCCUCCCUCCCUGUCUCCUGGGUGACAAAGUCUCCGGAUGGCCCCACCAACAAUGAGAUGAAAAUGAAGAGCCCUGCAGUAUAAUGAGGGUGAUAAAAAUAGAGAGUUGCUGAGUAAAGGGCAGGCCACAGUGGAGGAGGAGGAAUCCUGCCCGGAGCAGGUGGACCGGGCCUCCCGGCCUGUGACUCAGACAGACCAGGGCUGGCAGAGGGGGUGGCAGGGAGGUCAGAGAGGGGCCGAAGGGUGGGCUUACUUGAAUGUCCCAAGCAGACGCUGUCCUGGUCACUGUGACUCUGACCUUCACAGCGGGUGGACAAGGUGGGGCCAACACACACGCUGAUGGGGAUUGGGAAAUUCCUGCCCUUGUCUUGAACCUCUUGCCUGUCAAUAAGAGUCAGAAAAUGCGUUAAGAGUUAAUGUGUCAAUUUCUCUUAAAACAUUGCACCUCUUGUCUGUAGUAUGGAGUGGAAGAAGCCUGCUAACCAUGCCUCCUUCCCUCCCUCCUUCCCUUCUUCUUUCCCUUUCUUUCUUCUUUCUUCAGUUGGCAGCUUGGAGUAACUGCCAGCAAAGGCAGCCUCUCCUACAGAAGGAAGGCUUGAGGUGAGCAGGGACAGCUGCAUGUGAUGCCUUCUGGCACCUUGCCCCUCUGCAGUCUUUCUUUUUAAAAUUAUCUUCUAAAAAAUUAAAAUUUAUUCUGAUAUUCAGCCACGAGAAAGGAAGA